UUCCUACGGGGGGCAGCAGUCGGGAAUAUUGCGCAAUGGAGGAAACUCUGACGCAGUGACGCCGCGUAUAGGAAGAAGGUUUUCGGACUGUAAACUAUUGUCGUUAGGGAAGAUAAAAGACUGUACCUAAGGAGGAAGCCCCGGCUAACUACGUGCCAGCAGCCGCGGUAAUACGUAGGGGGCAAGCGUUAUCCGGAUUUACUGGGUGUAAAGGGAGCGUAGGUGGCAUGGUAAGCCAGAAGUGAAAACCCAGGGCUCAACUCUGUGGAUUGCUUUUGGAACUAUCAAGCUAGAGUGCUGGAGGG
rnacentral:rRNA from 1 species